rnacentral:lncRNA from 1 species
UAUUGAUGAGACUACUAUGGGUUACUCAAUAAAUUAUUUCUCUUACAGGGAAUGCCUUUCAAAAGUCAUCUCUAGGGAGGCUGUCCCUCCAGACGUGGCACCUGAAGAUCCUAAGGUGGAGUCUGGAUCAAUUUCUUUUCCUCUAAAGGCACUUGUUGAUAGUUCAUCCUUCUGACAAGAUGGCAAAAGCAAUGAACGAAGCAACAAAGAUCAACAGAUUAGAAGAGAAGAACCAUGAGAGGAUGUCAGGGGUAAGGAUAACAGCGGAUGGAGUGCUGGACCUGGAUUCAGAAAGACUCAUCUUCCUGUGUUCAAAUCCUGCCUCAGACACUUACAAACUGUGUGACUGUGGGCAAAUCACAACCCUGUUUGCCUCACUUUCUUCAUCUGUAAAUGAGGGAGAAGGAAAUGGCAAACCACUCCAGAAUCUUGGCCAAGAAAACCCCAAAUGGGGUCACUAAGAGUUGGACACAACUGAAAAAUGACUAAAGAACAACAAAUUGCAGUGAAUAACCCUUGAUCUCUGAAAAGUUAUGCUAGUGGACCAUAGACUUUCUCAGGUCAUACCACACUGGAAAAUCCUCAAGUGCUGGCUAGGAGUCAAACUGCAUGUCUGUCAUCCAAAGACCAGCCUGGUUACAAUAACAGCAAUAUUGUAUGAUGAUCAACUGUGAAUGAUUUAGGUAUUCUAAGCAAUACGGAGACCCAAGGCAAUUCGAAAGGACUCAUGAUGAAAAAUGCAAUUCACCUCUAGAGAAAGAACUGAUGGUGUCUGAAUGCGUAUCAAAGCAUACUUUUUUCAGUUUAUUUGGUUGUUAGUGGGGGUUUUUUUGUUUUGUGUUUUCUUUCACAACAUGACUAAUAUGGAAAUAUUAAUUUUGCAUAUUGGAUUUUCUAAAAGAAUGAUACACUUGUAUUAACAAUGAUCAUAUCUGAAAUUAAUCUAGCACAACAUAGAUUACAAAGUAACUUCUUUACAUCACCUCAUUUAAUCAAAUCUGACAAUAAAUAAAUGGAAACACAAUUUUUAAAAAAAUGA